GACACACAGAGGAACCAGGGGCUUGUCGCUCUGCAGGACACUUAUUUCCCUGCUGUGAGGCAGAAACCACCAGCUCAGGGUGCACUGUGCAGCUUUCCAGACUGAGACUGAAGUGAGGAGGGAGACCAGGGAAGAAGAGGCAUGGGAGAGAAAUUGCCAUAAUAACUCUGCAAUAAAGAUAUUAAUUAUAUUAUA